AGUAAGGUAAGCUAAUUAAGCUAUCGGGCCCAUACCCCGAAAACGUUGGUUAAACCCUUCCCAUACUA
rnacentral:tRNA from 1 species